GGAGGGGUGGCUGAGUGGCCGAAAGCAACGGUCUUGAAAACCGUCGACGGGAGACCGUCCGUGGGUUCGAAUCCCACCCCCUCCGCCA
rnacentral:tRNA from 1 species